AUCCAGCUGAAGAGUCCUAAAGAAGACGAGGCGUGCGUCCUGGAU
rnacentral:hammerhead_ribozyme from 1 species